rnacentral:rRNA from 1 species
GACAGAGGCCUCAAGCGUUAGGCGGAAUCACUGGGCUUAAAGCGUGUGUAGGCGGGUCGUUAAGUACCUUGUGAAAUCCCACGGCUCACCCGUGGAACUGCUGGGUAUACUGGCGAUCUUGGGCCAACUAGGGGCAACUGGAACAAGCGGUGGAGCGGUGAAAUGCGUAGAUAUCGCUUGGAACGCCAAAGGUGAAAACAGGUUGCUGGGGUUGUGC